UACGGAGGGAGCUAGCGUUCGUUCGGAAUUACUGGGCGUAAAGCGCGCGUAGGCGGCUUUGUAAGUUAGAGGUGAAAGCCCGGGGCUCAACUCCGGAACUGCCUUUAAGACUGCAUCGCUUGAAUCCGGGAGAGGUGAGUGGAAUUCCGAGUGUAGAGGUGAAAUUCGUAGAUAUUCGGAAGAACACCAGUGGCGAAGGCGGCUGCAGCUGGACCGGUAUGACGCUGAGGUGCGAAGCGUGGGGAGCAAACAGG
rnacentral:rRNA from 1 species